rnacentral:hammerhead_ribozyme from 1 species
AUCCAGUUGACGAGUUGCAAAAUAGGACGAAAUAUGUGUCCUGGAU